AAAGUGCUGUACAUGCAAGAUCACAUGUUGCCAGUUAAAUCAGGAAGAUGAUGACCAAUGACUGAAGCUAUGAUAAAAAGCAGUUCGGAAAAUAAGACAUGCAAAUGCUGAAGAGAAGACCAGCACAAAAAAAUAAACAAACAAACGGAGCUUGAAAAAUAAAAUGUAACUGAUUGUUAUGCAGUUGUUAUGAAAUAUAACUGAGAGAACGACCUUUAGAGAUAUAGAACUAGUUACUAAUUUAAUAAAUAGUUCUUUAUAUUUUGGACAAUAGGCGUAUCUGUAAUGUUGCUGAGAUAUGUAUAGUGAGAUAAAUUCCACCUGUCCUUUAAAUAUGAAGCUGCUGCCAGGAGACUUUGAUUUUUAGCCUAGAGUAAAGUCUUGAAAAAGAGAAAAGGCUUGCCUUACUCCCCAAAACAACAAAAUCAACCUACCAUCAAGUCUAAAACUUAAAAUCGGAAAUCUUGAGAUGCAUGGCUGGGUGGCUCAUGUAAGCUAAGCCAAGCUAAAAGAAUACCGUCUUUAACUUCAUAUAAGGUCGAUUUUUUUAUUAAAGCUUUUUU